AUUUUGUUUUCUAUAUGUCAUAUUUUGUCGCAUUUGUUGCUUUCCCCACAUCCUUCCUUUUGUCUAUAUUAUUAUGAUAUUCUCCUGGAAAGAGCUCUUUUUAAAUAAAAGGGAUCAACGAACCCAUCACCUUACCUUUAAGAUAGAUCAGUAAACAUGGGCAUAAUUAUGGGUGAUUAUUCAGACUAGUGCACACAUUUUACAGUUCAAACAAGGC
rnacentral:lncRNA from 1 species